AAGAACUAGAAGAGCUGAACGUUGCUGCUCUGGCAAGCGGAAAUCUGAGUAGGGAGAAGAGGAGCAAAGGACGGCUGCCUCUUUUUUGAUAAGGUGGCAGAGGUGACACUGUGUCUUUUCUGGGUGAAGUACUUAAGAGACCUACCAGCUUUGACAGCUUUAACCUCCACCCUUGAAGGCAACCACCCUCUGAGGAAGCUCAGGACAGACUAUGACCACACAAAUGAGACCCCAGGCUCCCUGGUGACAGUCAGAACCGUGACCCCCAAUCUGUGUUACCAGGAACUGCCGUUCAGUAAAUGCUUACUGCUUUGAAAUAGGAUUGAAGUGACUAGGAACCCUGAAUCAAGUCCACUUUCAGGACAACAAACUGGGUAAAGUGUUUCACCCCAACCCUUCAAAGGUCUGGACUCAGAGCCAACUGGGGAACUUGACUGAUCAGGACAACGUACUUCAGAGGUGUUCAGAGAGC